rnacentral:rRNA from 1 species
UAUCUCUGUAGAGUCUGCAUAUCAAUAAGCGGAGGAAAAGAAACUAACUAGGAUUCCCUUAGUAACGGCGAGUGAAGCGGGAAGAGCUCAAAUUUGAAAUCUUCAAGGUUUUACCUUGACGAAUUGUAGUUUAAAGAAGUGUUUUCUGUAGGAGUUUUGGUAAAAGUUCUUUGGAAUAGGACAUCAUAGAGGGUGAGAAUCCCGUAUUUGACCAUUAUUUCCAGCUUUGUGAUACACUUUCAAAGAGUCGGAUUGUUUGGGAAUGCAGUCCGAAAUGGGUGGUAAAUUUCAUCUAAAGCUAAAUAUUGGCGAGAGACCGAUAGCGAACAAGUACCGUGAGGGAAAGAUGAAAAGAACUUUGAAAAGAGAGUUAAACAGUACGUGAAAUUGUCAAAAGGGAAGCGUUUGACACCAGUGUUGUUUUCUCGAAAAUCAAUUAAAAAAGGCAGGAUUUUGUGUUGUAUUGACUUUAUCAGCUUUCUGCACUCUUUUCUUGUCUUUUUUAAUGCACUUUUCGUUUAACAAGUCAGCAUCAAUUUCUUUUGUUGUAAAAGGGUCAUUGGAAGGUGGCUUUCUUUUCGGAGAAAGUGUUUAUAGCCUUUGGCCUCUGCAAUCGGAGAGAUUGAGGUCUGCAGCGUAGAUCCUUCGGGGUUAGAUACAUUUGUGCUAAGUUAUAGCCUUUCAUAGACAACUUGUUGACUAUGAUCAGUCAUGUAGCUUACUCGCUUAUGCUAUUUUACCUACGCUUAGGAUGUUGAAGUCAUCGUAUCGCGC